UUAUUUAUCUCGUUUAUCUCUUAUUUAUUCCGUUUAAGUAGAAGAUAGAGUUAACCGAUACAGAAGAAAUCUACUCGAGAUAUGUUUUGAUACGAUUUCUUAGCUGAUAUUGGUUAGUAUCCUUAUAACCUUGGCCACUCGCAUAUAUAAAGGAUGAGAGGGACCCCUCUUAAAAUAGAAGAUCUCUAGAUCAUACUACACCAAAGGCAAUACAAAUCAUACAUGACGUAGGGUAUUACGCACCUUGCGGCCCGAACCUGUCUAAGCUUUGUGUUCCUUGCACCUUCAAGUUCCUGAUCUCGGCGUCUCCUCACCUAAACUUACCACCUUGAGCAUAUUCCUAGGUUGGCAGCCGGUAAAAUACCGAUAGAUAUCAUCUCGUAUGAAAAUGAAAAAGGAAGAAGAUAAAUAGUUAGUGGCGCACAAAAUAUACUAAUUUGCAAAUAGGAAGGCAGCCUCCCAAUUGGCAGCACGCUGAUUCGUUUCCAUGCAAGGAUGAUUGAUGAGUUCACCGUCCUGUGAAUUUCGGAAUCAUGGCCAUUUUGGAUUGAAAAGGAUAAUCCUACAAAAAUGUUCCAAGCACUCGCGAUAAGAUCGGCUGACCACCACACUCUCAUUGUGUGGCCGCAGCAGGUACCGAGAAGGAUACUGAGUUGAACGGCUCCUAGAAAUUAAAACCUGUGGAAGAUCGUAACGAACGCUGCCCUGCUCCGUUACCCAAUGCGACCCAGGUCGUCGUCUUCUCUGCCAUUGGCCAUGGCUUCGCCGAGCUUCCAAACCCCUGUGCUAACCGUCGUUCUGUUGCUCGCCGCCGGGGCCGCAGACACAGUGGGGGUGGUUUGCAACUACAAAACGUGCUACUUCGACCGCCAGGAGUGCUCGACCUCGGGCAACUUCACCGCCGGAAGCCAGUACCAUGCAAACCUCCUCAAUCUCAUCGGCGACCUUCCGCCGAGCACCAUAGCCAACGACGGCUUUGCCGAAAUCACGGCUGGCAGCGCACCGGACAGGGUGUUUGGCCUUGCCAUGUGCUACGCCGACCGCAACUUGACGCAGUGCCAAGACUGCCUCCGAAAUGUGUCCGGCUAUGUGCAGCAGGAGUGCCCGUUCAGCCGACAGGCCAAGAUUUCCGGAGACGCCUGCAUCCUCCGCUACUCCAACCUGUCCUUCUUCUCCGACGCCGACCGGGAAAUCGUGUCCUACGCCUCCUCGGAGGCCUCUCCAGACCCAUACGUCAGCGACGCGGCGACUAUGAACGCCGAGCGGUGGACUCUGAUGAGCGGGCUCGUGUCGGAGGCUGCGAGCUCCUUGCUGCGGUUCGCCAACGGCAGCAAGGAGUACACGGAUUCGCAAGGCAACGCUCAGCAGGUGAUCUACGGGCUGGCGCAGUGCACCAGGGACCUCAACGACAGCAUGUGCAGCGAGUGCCUCCAGAAUAUGGUAAUAGAGCUCAACAGCUCGCGCCCGAACAACACCUAUGGUGCCGUCAAGUGCUACAGCUGCUAUGUGGCAUACAGCAUCCGAGAGGACGUCGGCAUCACCGUUCCUCUGCCGCCGCCGCCGCCGCCGCCGCCACUGACGGUACCACCGGCGUUAUAUAUUGCCGGUGUGACUAUUGUCUCCGUGAUAGUCAUCAGCACCUGCAUCUUGGUUUCCUUCUUGCUGCGCUGCACCGGCUUCUUGGUUUCCUUCUUGCUGCGCCGCACCGGCAUCUUGGUUUGCUUCUUGCUGCGCCGCCGCAGAAGCAAGGGCCGACAGAUUGGAGAAGAUGUGCCAGGGGAGGAGGCUCCGGAGGACGAGUUUGAGGAACAGGCCGGGCCAAGGCGAUUCCGCUACAGCGAGCUGGAGGCUGCAACCAACUUCUUCUCAGAAAAGGAGAAGCUCGGUGAGGGUGGAUUCGGGUCGGUGUAUCAGGGGCACUUGAAAGAUACGGACCUUCACGUCGCCGUGAAAAGGGUGUCCAAGAGCUCUGGUCAGGGGAGGAAAGAGUACAACUCCGAGGUGAAGAUUAUUAGCCAGCUGAGGCAUCGCAACCUUGUUCAGCUCAUCGGCUGGUGCCAUGACGGCGGCGAGCUCUUGCUUGUGUACGAGCUUAUGCCCAACGGGAGCCUCAACACUCACAUCCAUAGCCAGAACAACGUCAUGUCGUGGCAGCUCAGGUAUGAUAUUGUGCUCGGCAUCGGUUCUGCACUUCUGUACCUGCACCAAGACUCGGAGCGGUGCAUCCUCCACCGUGACAUCAAGCCAAGCAACAUCAUGCUGGACGCUUCUUUCACCGCCAAGCUUGGUGACUUCGGGCUCGCGAGGCUCAUGGACCGUGACCGACAGUCACACACGACUGCGCUCGCCGGUACCAUGUGGUACAUGGAUCCCGAGUGUUUGCUAUCCGGUAAGGCCAGCACAUCAUCAGACGUCUACAGCUUCGGCGUGGUGCUCCUUGAGGUCGCGUGCGGCAGGCGUCCCAUUGUGGAAGUAUCAGACGACACUGAUGAAGAAUACGCCACCGUCCACCUUGUCCAGUGGGUUUGGGAAUUCUACAGGCGUGGAAGGAUCAUUGAGGCUGCGGACGUGCGGUUGAAUGGUAACUUUGACGCCAGGGAGAUGGAGAGCGUGCUAGUCACCGGGCUCUGGUGUGCACACCCUGACCGCAACUUGAGGCCGUCCAUGAGGCAGGCGAUCAAUGUUCUGCGGCUCGAUGCGCCCUUGCAAAGACUGCCCAUGAAGAUGCCGGCCUCGACGUUCCUGUCACAGUCAUCAGUGGCACGCAGGCGUACUGGUACACCGUACACCCACUUAAUUAAAGCAGGCCGUGGAAUCGCCGAGGCACCGCUGCCGGACGGUUUCUUUUGUUCCGGGGGAGCGAGUUGGGGAGGAGGGGUUUCACGGACUUGAUGGUCAGAGGAGCACGGCACGGAUUGCAUCAGAUCAGGUUGGGGAUGACCAUAGGAGAAAUGGAGAUGGUGCAGGUAGCCUUUGCAUCUGUAGUAAGGAACUGAGCAUCAAUGUGUGGGAUCGAGACUCUCUCCAACGAGAUUGGAGCACACUAGAACAGCGAAGAGGAAGAGAAGUCUCUGGAGGACACUAGAUUGUGACUCUGCGUCCGGCGUCGUCCAGCUCCUGCUGCGCAACAUCGACUCCACCACCAUCGUGAUCCGGGUGCGCCUCGGGAAGGGCGCCGCCCGCGGCGGCGAGCUGCUGCAAGUCUCGUACACCGGCCAGGACCUCCCGCGCGGGUCGACGGUCGGUGAGCUCGGCUUCCCACAGGAAGCCACAAUCCAUGUCUCCUCCCUGCUCCGCUCCAACCCGUACGCCGACGCGUGGGGCCUCAUGUCCGAGAUCGCCGCGGCGAGGAGUGGUCAGCCGGCGGAGGCCGCGCCCCUCGGUGGGACACGUCGAGAGCGGGUGCGCGGCACCCCCUGCUUCUCCACCUUCCAUGCAACCCAUCUAAUGUUAGAUAAUAUUU